GGAGGUGUGGCUAAGUGGUAGAGUAUUUGUCUAGCAUGCAUAAAGCCCUGAGUUCAGUCCCCACUACCACCA
rnacentral:tRNA from 1 species